UACAGAGGUCUCAACCGUUGUUCGGAUUCAUUGGGCGUAAAGGGUGCGUAGGCGGCUUGGUAAGUCAGGUGUGAAAUCUCGGGGCUCAACCCCGAAACUGCACUUGAUACUGCCUCGCUUGAGUACUGGAGAGGAGACUGGAAUUUACGGUGUAGCAGUGAAAUGCGUAGAUAUCGUAAGGAAGACCAGUGGCGAAGGCGAGUCUCUGGACAGUUACUGACGCUGAGGCACGAAGGCCAGGGGAGCAAACGGG
rnacentral:rRNA from 1 species